rnacentral:rRNA from 1 species
GAUCCGAUUCCUACGGGAGGCAGCAGUGAGGAAUAUUGGACAAUGGAUGGAAAUCUGAUCCAGCCAUGCCGCGUGCAGGAAGACGGCCCUAUGGGUUGUAAACUGCUUUUGUAUGGGAGCAAUAAGGUCUAUGCGUAGACUGAUGAGAGUACCAUACGAAUAAGCAUCGGCUAACUCCGUGCCAGCAGCCGCGGUAAUACGGGGGAUGCAAGCGUUAUCCGGAUUUAUUGGGUUUAAAGGGUGCGUAGGCGGUUUGAUAAGUCAGCGGUGAAAUACUUCAGCUUAACUGAAAGGGUGCCGUUGAUACUGUCAGGCUUGAAUAUGGUUGCUGUGGGUGGAAUGUGUGGUGUAGCGGUGAAAUGCUUAGAUAUCACACAGAAUAUCGAUUGCGAAGGCAGCUCACAAAGCCAUUAUUGACGCUGAUGCACGAAAGUGUGGGGAUCAAACAGGAUUAGAUACCCUGGUAGUCCACACUGUAAACGAUGAUAACUCGCUGUCGGCGAUACACAGUCGGUAGCCAAGCGAAAGCGAUAAGUUAUCCACCUGGGGAGUACGACCGCAAGGUUGAAACUCAAAGGAAUUGACGGGGGCCCGCACAAGCGGAGGAACAUGUGGUUUAAUUCGAUGAUACGCGAGGAACCUUACCCGGGCUCGAACGGUGCAGGAAUACGUCAGAGAUGAUGUAGCUAGCAAUAGUCUGUAUCGAGGUGCUGCAUGGUUGUCGUCAGCUCGUGUCGUGAGGUGUCGGGUUAAGUCCCAUAACGAGCGCAACCCUUAUCGUUAGUUGCCAUCAGGUAAUGCUGGGAACUCUAGCGAGACUGCCACCGUAAGGUGUGAGGAAGGGGGGGAUGACGUCAAAUCAGCACGGCCCUUACGUCCGGGGCGACACACGUGUUACAAUAGUAGGUACAGAGGGCAGCUACCCAGCAAUGGGGUGCGAAUCUCAAAAGCCUAUCUCAGUUCGGAUCGGAGUCUGCAACUCGACUCCGUGAAGUUGGAUUCGCUAGUAAUCGCGUAUCAGCCAUGAUGCGGUGAAUACGUUCCCGGGCCUUGUACACACCGCC